UACCAGCACCCCGAGUGGUCGGGACGUUUAUUGGGCCUAAAGCAUCCGUAGCCGGUUCUACAAGUCUUCCGUUAAAUCCAACUGCUUAACAGAUGGGCUGCGGAAGAUACUAUAGAGCUAGGAGGCGGGAGAGGCAAGCGGUACUCGAUGGGUAGGGGUAAAAUCCGUUGAUCCAUUGAAGACCACCAGUGGCGAAGGCGGCUUGCCAGAACGCGCUCGACGGUGAGGGAUGAAAGCUGGGGGAGCAAACCGG
rnacentral:rRNA from 1 species